rnacentral:rRNA from 1 species
CAACGGGUAACGUGAUAAGGGGACACCGAGUGCCAGCAUCAUAUGUUGGCUGUCCAGAUGUGUAAAAUACAUCUGUUAGCAAGGGCCGGGCAAGACCGGUGCCAGCCGCCGCGGUAACACCGGCGGCCCGAGUGGUGAUCGU